CGGAUUGUAGGCUGAAACUCGCCUACAUGAAGCUGGAGUUGCUAGUAAUCGCGAAUCAGCAUGUCGCGGUGAAUACGUUCCCGGGCCUUGUACACACCGCCCGUCACACCAUGAGAGUUGGCAAUACCCAACGUACGUGAUCUAACCCGCAAGGGAGGAAGCGUCCUAAGGUAGGGUCAGCGAUUGGGGUGAAGUCGUAACAAGGUAAC
rnacentral:rRNA from 1 species